rnacentral:rRNA from 1 species
UACGUAGGGCGCAAGCGUUAUCCGGAAUUAUUGGGCGUAAAGAGCUCGUAGGCGGUUUGUCGCGUCUGCCGUGAAAGUCCGGGGCUCAACUCCGGAUCUGCGGUGGGUACGGGCAGACUAGAGUGCAGUAGGGGAGACUGGAAUUCCUGGUGUAGCGGUGAAAUGCGCAGAUAUCAGGAGGAACACCGAUGGCGAAGGCGGUUCUCUGGGCAUUACCUGACGCUGAGGAGCGAAAGCGUGGGGAGCAAACAGG